AUUGAACGCUGGCGGCAGGCCUCACACAUGCAAGUCGAACGAGUGGUGGACGGGUGAGUAAUGUCUGGGAAACUGCCUGAUGGAGGGGGAUCACUACUGGAAACGUUAGCUAAUACCGCCUACCAUGAGAUGAGCCCAGAUGGGAUUAGAUAGUUGGUGGGGUAACGGCUCACCAAGGCGACGAUCCCUAGCUGGUCUGAGAGGAUGACCGGCCACACUGGAACUGAGACACGGUCCAGACUCCUACGGGAGGCAGCAGUGGGGAAUAUUGCACAAUGGGCGCAAGCCUGAUGCAGCCAUGCCGCGUGUAUGAAGAAGGCCUUCGGGUUGUAAAGUACUUUCAGCGGGGAGGCGUUACCCGCAGAAGAAGCACCGGCUAACUCCGUGCCAGCAGCCGCGGUAAUUC
rnacentral:rRNA from 1 species